rnacentral:rRNA from 1 species
CCUACGGGAGGCAGCAGUGAGGAAUAUUGGUCAAUGGGCGAGAGCCUGAACCAGCCAAGUCGCGUGAGGGAGUACUGCCCUAUGGGUUGUAAACCUCUUUUGUAGGGGAGCAAAAGCCGGACGUGUCCGGCUGUGAGAGUACCCGAAGAAAAAGCAUCGGCUAACUCCGUGCCAGCAGCCGCGGUAAUACGGGGGAUGCGAGCGUUAUCCGGAUCUAUUGGGUUUAAGGGGUGCUCAGGCGGAUUGUUAAGUCAGCGGUAAAAUCGUGGGGCUCAACCCCAUCCAGCCGUUGAAACUGGGGAUCUAGAGUGUGCGAGAGGUAGGCGGAAUUCGUGGUGUAGCGGUGAAAUGCAUAGAUAUCACGCAGAACCCCGAUUGCGAAGGCAGCAUACCGGUGCACAACUGACGCUCAUGCACGAAAGCGUGGGUAUCGAACAGGAUUAGAUACCCUUGUAGUC